rnacentral:tRNA from 2 species
GCCUCCUUGGCUCAGUCGGAAGAGCGUCAGUCUCAUAAUCUGAAGGUCGCAAGUUCGAACCUUGCAGGGGGCA